UCUUCAACCCUUCUGAAUCGUUUCUCUGAAACGUUGUGUGUCUCUCAGACACUAUAUUCCUCAAAGGAAUAAACCUCUCCAAUCUUCAUUAUUCCACAUUCUCCCUCGUCUCUUGGCCAUACAAUUAGCCUUCACAACUAGUAAUCUUACUAGCUUUCUUUGUUUUCCUUUUCUUUCUCUGAAAAUUUCAUCCAAUGGAUCUGAAAAAUGAGAUGGAGAUCAAGUUAUCAAACAGUUCUAGGAUAGUGAUCUUCGAGAAGUACGAGAUGGGAUGCGUGUUAGGGUAGGGGAACUUUGCGAAGGUAUACUACGGGAGGAACCUAGCGACAAGUGAAAGUGUGGCAAUUAAGGUGAUAAAGAAGGAUAGUUGAAGAAGGAGAGGCUGAUAGAGCAGAUUAAGAGAGAUGUUUUGGUUAUGAGCGAGGCUGGUGAGGCAUCCCAACAUAGUGAAGCUGAAGAAAGUUAUGGCGACGAAGGAGAAGAUAUUCUUGGUUAUGGAGUAUGUUAAGGGAGGGGAAUUGUUCAAGAAAGGGGAGAAAGUGAAGCUGAAGGAAAAUGUAGCUAGAAAGUAGAAAGUAUUUUCAGCAGUUGAUAUCGGCCAUUGAUUUCUGCCAUAGCCGCGGCGUCUCCGAUUUUGGCUUCUUUGUUUGCCGGAACAACGGCGUGCAGGUUCAUCAUAUUUUUUUUUAUUUUUUUCAAUUAUUUAAUGUCUUAAUUUGUUGUUACUGGUUUGGCUAUAUUAGGCUAUGAUUGAAUCACAAAAUUGACUGAUUUCUUCUUUUAGUUGAAUAAUUAGGACAUAAUUUCUUUUAUUGAUUAAAAAAUUAGGGCAUAGUUUUAGUAUGGUUUUGUAAUAUACCAUAUUUGGUGGAUGAGUCUUCUAGUUUUGGUAUCCACACG